AGCCACACCCACCAAAUGGAAGCAAACCUUCAUAUUUCCAGUCAUUGGCGCAAACAUACCUCAAAGUCUGUUCAAUGACGUUUUGGAGAAACGUGUUGUUCAGAACUAAUCGUUCUGCAACAAUUGAACGCACCUCUGAUAUAGGGUCGUGUGGGCGAUAUACAUAUUGGUGAUGGAUUCUUUUCUUGGGGGUGAGACGCUUUGCAGAUGAUCAAGAUCUUACAAAGUUGCAACCAGGCAACUUAUUCUGCACCUAUGAGUGGGGUCCUUCAUACAAGCAUGUUUAUUGUUUACCUACACGUCAUCCGGAAGUGAGUGUCAAAGAAGAUGAGACUGGAUUCACAGGAGGCAGAUGCUCCACUCUUUGGUGACGAUGAUGAUGAUGCCCCCACUGCCACCAGACAGAAGAAAUCAGAAAUCAAGCAUCCCCUGGCCACGUUCUUCCAUCUCUUCUUCCGCACCAGUGCCAUCUUAGUCUACCUACUGUGUGAAAUCCUGAGCAGUAGUUUCA